rnacentral:lncRNA from 1 species
CUACAGCUAUAUGAAUUUUUGCUAAUACAACUUUGCAUGUAAUGCACCUAGAAAUACAACAAAUGAUAUUUGAUUAAUGCUUUUCUACAUGGAUGCAGUAUCCAUAAUUGUUGAUUGAUGCUUGUUUCAAACGUAGAGCAUUUUAACCAGAGGAAAAACUAGGAUUCAAGAAACUUGGUAGUUGUGAGUGAUAUGAUGAAACUAUCAUGUAACACUCUGCAGAUAGGACACACGACCUUCAAUGUGUUUCCGAGAAAAAAAUGAAAAUGAGGAGGGAGAAGCAUAGUGAGGGAAGUCCCACAUCGUUCCCUUGCUAAUUCUCUUGACUCCACUCCUAUAAAUAUGGGAUGAAGAGAAGGAUGUAGAAGCAUAGUGAGAAAAGUCCCACAUUGUUUCCUUACUAACUCUUUUGGUUCUACUCUCCUAUAAAUAGAGGAUUGGGAGAAUGAGAUAGGAGCAUUGUAAGAGAAGUCCCACAUUGUUUCAUUACUAAUUCUGUUGGUUCCACGCUCCUAUAAAUAAGAGAUCAGGAGGGACAAGCACAGCGAGGAGUUUAGCAAGAGAAGUUCACUAUUUCAUUGGUAAUUCUUUUGGUUCCAUUUUUCUAUAAAUUAUUUGUUGGGUAAGGUGGAGAAUCAUAGAACGAAAACUAUACAUGACUUUUUUUAGCAAAUUAGUAAAGAAAUGAUGUGAGACUUUCGCCAUUUUGCUUUUACCUCAUUCCCUAUUUAGAGGACAGUGGAGUCAAGAGAGUUAGUAAGGAAACUUGAUGUGAGACUUUCAUCAUUUUGCUUUUACCUCAUUCUCUAUUUAGAGGGGAGGGGAGUCAAAUAAGUUAGUAAAAGAAAUUGUUAGACUAUAAUAUUUUAUUAUUUAAUUAGUUAAAAUAAUAUAAUUAAAAUUUUAUUAUAAUAGUACUUGUAUAAUUAAAAUUUUACCAUAAUAAUAAUUUUGUUAUAUAAAGAUUAAAAAUUCUAUAAUAAUUUUGUGAAAAAAAGUUUUUUUUUUCUAAAAUCAACAUGAUAUUAUAUACCAAAAUAAAAAUAUUCUAGAAUUCUAAUUUAAAUCUUUCUUUCAAAUUCUAAAAUAGUAAAAUAGCAUGAGUUGAUACUCACCUGUCAAAUUCUAAUCCCAAUGUACCCUAGAUGGAGUCAACCUCACCACCGGCCUACCACCCGACUCAGGUAACCAUCUCUAGGUCGCGUAAGCUACACGUGCCGCUGCAGCAGAAGUGUGUAAGCCAUACGUGCCACUGGAAUCAGACAGAUCCGGCCUGAAUCGCAUUGCAUUACUACGAGAAAAAUCUGAAUUGCAUGCAAACCGGCUCAAAUCGCGCCUUCCUGGACCUGCAUUCAUGCGGCUGCCACGCGUUCCCCCGUUCUGCCCGUCGAGCAUUCUGUCACGUUCUGCCGCGCACAGAAUCGUUCAAAUCUGGUUCCUCCACGCUUGAGCCACUCCGACUGGCAUUCUCUGGUCCUUCUUCCGAGCACUAGUGCCAGUGCCGUCGCGUUUGCCGCUACUUUCUUACCGUAUUGGUUUGUUUCUGGUCACUGACUCUGCUCCAGCAUAUUGCCUUUUUCCGGCCUAAUCCUAUUGUUUCUAACUUUAUAGGUGCUGCUUAUAAGUUCUGUUCUACUUCUCUGAGAUUAACUACUGGGUGUUGUUAUUUCUCUUUUACUUGCAACUAGUUAGAAAUUUUGUUCUAUUCUUCUGAUAUUAGCUAAUUUCUCUUUUACUUUAAACCAUGGAUCUCUUAAUAACUUGGUCUGUAAAUUGGGCGAUAUCUUUAUACCUGCUAGUGGAAGUGUUAACUAAAAUAAUUUUUUAUGUAAUUAAAAUUUUAUUAAAAUAAUAAUUUCAUAUAAUUAAAUUUUUAUUAUAAUAAUAAUAUCUUUAUUUAUAAAUUAAAAAUUUUAUAAAUAUUUUAAAUAUAACGAUAUAAAAUAAUAAAUUUAUAUUUUUUUUCUAAAAUCAACAAAAACAAUGGGAUUUUACUCACUAUGUUUCUACCUCCUCCUCCUCAUCUUCUAUUUAUAGGAAAGUGGAGCCAAAGGAGUUAGUAAGGGAACAAUGUGGAACUUUUCUCAUUAUCUUUCUCCCUCCUUUUCCUCAUUUUCAUUUUCUUUUCAGAACUUCUUGAAGACCGUGUGUCUUGUUUGCAGUGUGUUACAUACCAUGAUUUCUUAAAAAAACAUAUGCAACUGAACUAAUAUAGAGAAAUCUAUAUGAUGAAAUCUGCCAUGAUUUCUAUAAAACGCAUAUACAAAUAAAAAUUAUUUAGAGAAAUCUACUUCGAUGAAAACAAUUUCCAUAAUACGCAUUAAGAUAGAUGUUGUGUACUUAAUAUGCUUCUAUAACCAGUUCAUUUUGAACACAGGGUGACCUGGAGAAGGAGAUGCCAUAAGUUGAAACAGUUAAUUCAGAGGAUGUCACUGUAGAGGGAUGCCAACAAUUUUAUUCUUAUCACUUCAUAACAAUGAAGAUCAGCACGCACUAGUUCAGAUGCUUGUUUGAAUUUGAGAGAGAGAGUUCAGAAUUGGUAUCAUAUGGACAAAACUAACAAGGAAAAAGCUCUUGAUGUUCUUAUCUGAAGGAAGUAAAAACCGUUACCUUUUAAAUCUAGAGUCAGCUAAAAUCCCAGAAAUAAACCAAUGUUUAGAGAAUGGUAUAACCCCCCUCAUCAGUUUUUGUAGUCUCAUCUUGUACUAAGUAUAAAGUUGAAGUUCAUGUGGAUAUCAAUCCAUGAAUAAGUUUAUAAACUACAUGCAUAAAAAAACUGUGCGCUGUAGCUCUUACCUCAGAUGGAAGGCCACCUGUCCUGCUGAGGGUAUCAAUAGGUACAGUAUCAAGAACUUUUGUAGGUAUAACAUCACCUGAGUACCUGUGCCAAGCAUUAAUAAACUUAAAUAUUUCAUAAUUUUUACCAGCAUUUUUUUUUGACAAAAAUACAAGACAAAACCAAAUCGUGCAUUCUUCUGAAGUACUUAUCAAGAUAUGUAUGUUUCUGCAUCAUGUUAGCAUUGACUAGGUCAUGCUGGUGGCAAUAUGAGCUUUAUCAAAUUAAAACAUCACCAAUAAGAUGCAUGAUGUAAGUAGUUAUUGACACAGAUGGGUCGUAAGUUGACUGCAUGUUACAGAGUUUUAUUUCCAGCACAAACAGUGUCAAUAAGCUGACAUGGCACUAAUCAACGCUGAUGGAGAAAAAUAAGAUGCAAAGUUUGAUAAAUAUUUAAAGAUGUAUAGUUUGGUUUAUAUUAUUUUCUCUCUGCAUAUUUUGACAAUCUUUUUAGUGCUUCUGACUCUCCUGCAACCAUCUGAACAAAUACUUCAGGAAAGCUAUUUACCAUAAAUAAUCAACGGUUCCAAGGAACUUAGAAUGGUAAGAAGUAGCUAAAGGUUCGCCAUUCGAAUCUCUUGUUCUCGUGGAGCCCUGAAAAGACUUGAUAAUGUAAAGAGAUACUUCCAAGUGAGCGGGACAGUUCAAAUAGUGAAAGAAGCAAAUAAGAAAAUGAACCACC